GGACCUCCCUGAUUGGAGCUUUGCAGACGGGCGCCCCUCCCCCCCCUGGCGGGGGCAGCUCCGGAGACGCCGCGAGAACCAAGAGCUGGUGCGCCGGGCCCUGGCCCUGAGCCGCUCCCUGGAGGCCGCGAAGCUUCGGGGGAACCUGGAGAGGAUCCCAGUCCAAACCAGUA